rnacentral:ncRNA from 1 species
UACUUUAAGAGUUUGAUCCUGGCUCAGGAUGAACGCUAGCGGCGUGCCUAAGAUAUGCAAGUCGAGCGAUUGUGCAAAGCACAUGAGGUUUCAGGUAUAAACGUACCACGUAUCAUGUAUUUAAAAAACGUAUAACGUGUGACGCGGAACUUGGAACGGUGUGUGCUUUGUACGAUAGCGGCAGACGGCUGAGUAACACGUAGGAACCUACCCCAAGGUGGGGGAUAGCUCAUCGAAAGAUGGGAUAAUCCCGCAUAGUCCCGCUCAGAGCGAAAGCUAUUGAGCGGGUAAAGGGCGUAACUGCUCGCCAUGGGAGGGGCCUGCGGUCCAUCAGGUAGUUGGUAGGGUAACGGCCUACCAAGCCUACGACGGAUAGCUGACCUUACGAGGGUGACCAGCCAGAGGAGCACUGAGACACGGGCUCCACGUCUACGGACGGCAGCAAU